UAGGCCAUGGUAGAUAGAGAUGG
rnacentral:miRNA from 1 species